rnacentral:misc_RNA from 1 species
AUGAGUUGUGAUGGGGUUUGAUGCUGGCAGCCAAUUUUGUUGGAUGCAUGUGCUUGCCCUGACAAUCAUCUUCCAAACACCUGUGCACAUUUUUGAGGGAAUUUUGAGUUGAUUGCCGCUUUUUGGCGAUUUUCUUGCGUUCCCUUAAAUCAUUAUACGCUGUUAGCAAAUGCUGAACGUGAUUUGUGCCGCAAGGCUAUUAAUAUAAUA